UUUCCGGUUGAUCCUGCCGCCGGCCACCGCUAUCAAGUUCCGACUAAGCCAUGCGAGUCAAGGUAUCGUAAGAUGCCGGCAAACUGCUCAGUAACACGUGGAUAAUCUAACCUUGAGUAAGGGAUAACCUCGGGAAACUGAGGAUAAUACCUUAUAAUUGCUUAAAACUGGAAUGUUUAAGCAAUAAAAGUUCCGACGCUCAAGGAUGAGUCUGCGACCUAUCAGGUAGUAGGUGGUGUAAUGGACCACCUAGCCUCAGACGGGUACGGGCCCUGGGAGGGGUAGCCCGGAGAUGGACUCUGAGACAUAAGUCCAGGCCCUACGGGGCGCAGCAGGCGCGAACACUGUGCAAUGCGCGAAAGCGCGACACGGGGAGCUUGAGUGUCUUGGCAUAGCCAAGACUUUUCUCAUUCCUAAAAAGCAUGAGGAAUAAGUGCUGGGUAAGACGGGUGCCAGCCGCCGCGGUAACACCCGCAGCACAAGUGGUGGUCACUUUUAUUGAGCCUAAAGCGUUCGUAGCCGGUUUUGUAAAUCUUUAGAUAAAGCCUGAAGCUUAACUCCAGAAAGUCUGAAGAGACUGCAAGACUUGAGAUCGGGUGAGGUUAAACGUACUUUCAGAGUAGGGGUAAAAUCCUGUAAUCCCGGAAGGACGACCAGUGGCGAAAGCGUUUAACUAGAACGAAUCUGACGGUAAGGAACGAAGGCUAGGGUAGCAAACCGGAUUAGAUACCCGGGUAGUCCUAGCUGUAAACACUGCCCAUUUGAUGUUGCUUUUCCGUUGAGGGAAGGCAGUGUCGGAGCGAAGGUGUUAAAUGGGCCGCUUGGGAAGUAUGGUCGCAAGACUGAAACUUAAAGGAAUUGGCGGGGGAGCACCGCAACGGGAGGAAUGUGCGGUUUAAUUGGAUUCAACGCCGGA
rnacentral:rRNA from 1 species